rnacentral:tRNA from 1 species
AUUAUAUUAGUUUAAGAAAAAUUUCACUUUGUGAAAGUGGCAAUCUCUAUUGAGAUAUAAUA